UGCUGCAAUCUCAUGGUAAAAUGUUGACAGAUGAAUUGUUUACUAUAAAUAAGCAAAGAAAAUGGUUUCUUGAGAUGUAAUUUACUCUUGGCAAAGAUGAUGUGAAGAUUGUUGAAAUGACAAUAGGGAAUUUAAAAUAUUACACAACUUAGUUGAUAAAGCAGUGGCAGGGUUUGAGAGGACUGACUCUAGUUUUGAAAGUUCUACUGUAGGUAACAAAGUUUUGAACAACAUUGCUUGCUACACAGAAAUUGUCCGUGAAAGGAAAAAGUAAUCUAUGUGGCAAACGUAAUUGCUGUCUUAUGUUAAGAAAUUGCUACAGCCACCCCAGACUUGAGCAACUACCACUCUAAUCAGUCAGCAGCCAUCAGCCUCAAGGCAAGACCCUCCAUCAGCAAAAAAAAUUAUGACUUGCUGAAGGCUCAGAUGAUGGUUAGCACUUUUUAACAAUAAAAUUAAGGUGGGUACUUUUUUAAAGAUAUAAUACUAUUACAUACUUAAUAGACUACAAUAUAGUAUAAAGCAUAAUGUAUAUGUGUACUGGGAAACUAAAAAUUUUUGUAACUCAAUUUGUUUUGAUAUUCACUUUAUUAUGGUAGUCUAGAACUGAGCCUGCAAUAUCUCUGAGAUAUGCCUAUACACAGGAAUAGAGUUAUUUUGGCAUGGGGUAGAUAUAUUUUCAGUUUUAUAAGAAACCAUGAGACUUUUUUUUUUCCAGAAGCAGUUGUACCAUUUUACUCUUACCAACAAAUAUAUAUGACUUCUAGUUACUGCAAAUUUAGCCUUUGGUAGAUGUGUAGUGGCAUCUAAUCAUGGUGGUUUAAUAUGAUUUUCCUAAUGACUGUAAUUUUGAGUAUCUUUUCAUGUGGUUACUGGCAUUUGUGAGUGUUAAAAUUCCUUGCCCAUUUUUAAAUUGUCUUUUUUAUUAUUGAAUUGUAUUUUUACAAAUGUAUUUUUAUUUUUUCAUGCUUCCUCUUACAUUGUAAGCAUUUCAUAUAUUAAAUUAUUUCUCUCUCCAAAACCCUGGUGAAUUAGGUCUUAUUAUGUCCAUUUUAGGUAUGAGUAAGCUCAGGUCUAUGUUGCUUAAGUGAGUUACCCAUAGUCUCAUAAGUAAUGAAUGAUGGGACUCUGAUAUAGGGGUGGCUAGCAGUAAAAUCUUAUGUACUUAACUACUACCUUAUACAAUAAAGAAUCAAUAGUAUGGGCUUUCAUGUGAGAAAAGGGUCUUUGUGGGCUGAGAUGUCUAAAAUAAUAAGUAGAAAUGCUGGAUUUUGAUGAAUAAGUUUUAGAUAGCCAUCUAUUAAGUUGUGGUGGUGUGGGGUAGGCUACAGAUAUUUAUUAAAAUUCCUGCAUGAAAAAGAGAUAUACUUACUUGGAGUAAUAACAAAGAGAUAGAUCAGGAAUUGACCUUGAAGUUCUAAAGAUUAUUUGAGACCAGAAACUAUAACAAAUCAUUUUCAAGAUGCUUCAGUGCAUUAACAAUUUAUAAGAAAGAAAAUUUUCUUCUCUAUUCUUUAAGUGUGACCCUACAUUCUCUACUGCUAAAAUAGUUUGGCUUCCACAACUGUGAAUUAAUAAAGUAUUGAUUUUACUUAUACUUUUAUUUAAUGGGCAUUAAAAAAAAUUGGGUACCACUGUUCUUGAAAUAAGUUGAGUCCAGUUUAGAACCACAGGAUGUUUUAACUUGAGAAAUUAGGACAACUUCAGCUAUUAUAGAACAGUAAGCAUGAUAGGGCAUUUAAGUUAGCUUAGCUCUGUGGCUGAACUCCUGAGAGAGAUUCUAGGAGAUUCAAAGUCUUGUCAGAAGUGCAGGGAAGAGAGUCAUAUAAAUGUAUAAAGUUCUGUGGAUUUAGUGGCCUAUAAACAAUGUUACUUUCUUCCCUGUACAAUUAGUGAUAGCCCUCUAUUCCCAUUUUAAAGCAUGGUGAGAAUUUCUCCUUUGGUAGUUCUGCUUUGAAGGUACCCGUCUGAUUGGUAGUUCAUCCUCUGAAGUAGUAAGUAGUUUAAUUUAAGACAAAUGCAGCUUAAGUCUUCUGUUUAUAUGAAUGAAACUAAUUUCACAUAAAUUAAUACAUUCUUUUUAUUCUAUUCAACCCUUUGUGACACUUCAGGGCUUGGAUUUUUUUUUGUGAAUCUAUGUCUCCUUUUACUAAGCCUAUGAUUCUUUCACUGCUUGCUCCUUGAGUGCAUAUCCUGUGAAGCUAUGUGUGUGCUGAGAAGACUGGAGUUCAGCUUAGGGAUAAUUGACAGAGUGGAGGCCUUGUUUGGGCUCUGAGCCUUGUGAUUUUAAAGUAAAGUGAUUAGAGGAAUGAAGUAUAAGGGAAGAACGGGUGUCAUACAUCAGUUAAGAAUAACAUCACCCAUUUCUUUUGUUUCUGGCUGAUGUUAAGUUGGUAAGCAGAUGAAGCUGCCUGUCCCUGUCCCUCUGUGUGUAUUCUCAUUGGUGUUUAUAUAAUAUUGCAGUUAAAGUCCACUAGACUGCAUUGUUUGGAGAUUAAACCCAAUUGAUUGAAUUUCCUAUGAUGGGUGUUUUAAGGGAAUUCAUAUAUCUGAACUUGAGUGAAGUCCAUUUGAACACUGGUUCAAGUUUUUGCUUAUUUUCAAAUUUCUACAGAUAGGACCUUAAAACGCCGUGGGCCUUCAGAAUUUUUCUUUGAUGUUAUCAUCAAGGUAAAUGGCUUCUUUAUGAAUCAGAAUCACAUAUGAAAACUCAAACAAUGGUCGAUUUGUGAACAGAAUCAACACUUAGGCAUUCUGUUGUAUUGACUUUAAUGAAAGUUCAAGCAAGUAAUUUGGCUGCUUACAUUGAGCUAAUAUUCCUUUAGUGACUGAAACUUUCUAUUUCUGGUAUUCACUUUUUAUAUGGAGCACAUUUUUACUGCUUGUAUUAUUCUUUAAGAAGCUUAAGACAGCCCUUAUAAUAAACUUUAAAUGUUCAUCUCCAGAGUUUAUCCAAGAACUAGAAUGAUGAACUUAAUCUCUGCAACUUUGCAAUUAGUGUAUUAACUUAAGUACUAUUUUUGGUAUCUCUCUGCUCUGCAAGUCAGCUGGUUAAUGUGUUUCCUUUUGUAGGAUUUUACCAGAGCAUAGCAAUUGGAACACAAAAUAAACAUUAACAGACUUUUCUUCGUGCUUGCAUUUGGUUAUAAGAAAAACUUUUUUCGUUUGCUGUUUUUAUCCUUUUAAAUUGUGCUCCUUAAAAUGAGUGGAAUGAAGGAUUUUGUACUUUAAAGGAGCAAUGUGUCAAUAUGAAUAGAAGUGCUUAUCCAAAUAGAUUCUCUAGAAGGAUAAUUUUUAAAUUUUGUAGAAGUGUGCACUCUGAAAAAAAGGAGAAAUCAGGUUCUGUAUUUCCAGCUUUUUCUUGACAAAUACUGGUGGUGUAAAUUAUCCAGCUGUUCUUCCUCUGUAUGGAUUUUGUAGUACUCAGAGCGAUUUAUAGGUCUAGAGUGCAGCUGCUGAAAGUCAUUUAUUCUCAGUUCUGUAUUAAAUCCAUCAUAUACAAAUAUAUUAGCAUUCAGUACGGAGCUCAAGGGCUUAAGACAUUUCUUCCCUUCUGAGUAGCUGUCCUGCAAAUGUGUACAGGCAGUACUGAAACAGCAUCCAGAAAUUAUUGGGUUGAUAUAUAUGUUUAGAAGGAUUCCUUUUAUUUUUUUAUUUUAUUUUUUUUAAACUUUCACCAACAAUGAGUAUUAUGUAUAUUUUUAUUUUUGUCAAUUUGGUGAGCGAAAACAGUGGUACAAGUGAGGCUGACAUGAUAAUGUGAGAAAAAAGAAUGAAUACAUGUAUGUGUAACUGGUUCACCAUGCUGUACAGUAGAAAAUUGACAGAACACUGUAAACCAGCUAUAAU
rnacentral:lncRNA from 1 species